GUGGUAAAAUGGCUGAGUAGGCAUUAGGCUGUAAACCUAAAGACAGAGGGUCUAAUCCUCUUUUUACCA
rnacentral:tRNA from 1 species